UACGAAGGGGGCUAGCGUUGCUCGGAAUCACUGGGCGUAAAGCGCACGUAGGCGGAUUGCUAAGUCAGGGGUGAAAUCCUGGAGCUCAACUCCAGAACUGCCUUUGAUACUGGCGAUCUUGAGUCCGGGAGAGGUGAGUGGAACUGCGAGUGUAGAGGUGAAAUUCGUAGAUAUUCGCAAGAACACCAGUGGCGAAGGAGGCUCACUGGCCCGGUACUGACGCUGAGGUGCGAAAGCGUGGGGAGCAAACAGG
rnacentral:rRNA from 1 species